rnacentral:rRNA from 1 species
AUACGGAGGAUCCGAGCGUUAUCCGGAUUUAUUGGGUUUAAAGGGUGCGCAGGCGGGAGAUUAAGUCGGCGGUGAAAUUUUGCAGCUCAACUGUAAAAGUGCCUUCGAAACUGGUUUCCUUGAGUGUAGAUGAAGUAGGCGGAAUUUGUGGGGUAGCGGUGAAAUGCAUAGAUAUCACGAGGAACUCCGAUUGCGCAGGCAGCUUACUAAACUACUACUGACGCUCAGGCACGAAGGCGUGGGGAUCAAACAGGAUUAGAUACCCUGGUAGUCCACGCAGUAAACGAUGAUUACUAGCUGUUUGCGAUACAAUGUAAGUGGCUGAGCGAAAGCGUUAAGUAAUCCACCUGGGGAGUACGUUCGCAAGAAUGAAACUCAAAUGAAUUGACGGGG